rnacentral:rRNA from 1 species
AAUGAACGCUGGCGGCAUGCCUAACACAUGCAAGUCGAACGAGAGCUUCGGGCUUAGUGGCGCAUGGGUGCGUAACGGGUGGGAUAAUGCCUUUAGGUUCGGCUUAACUUGCGGGAUGGGGUGCUAAUACCGGCUCUUGUAUCCGGACCAAAGUUUUGUCGCCUUUGGAUGGGCUUUCGUCGGAUUACUUAGUUGGUAGGGUAAAACCGUAUAACGGCGACGACCGAUAGCUGGGCAGAGAGGCUGGUCAGCCACACUGGGACUGAGACACGGUCCAGACUCCUACGGGAUGCAGCAGUGGCGAAUAUUGGACAAUGGGCUGAAGCCUGAACGACCAAUGCCGCGUGAGUGAUGAAGGCCUUAGGGUUGUAAAGCUCGUUUACCCGGGAUGAUAAUGACGGUACCAGGAGAAUAAGCUCCGGCUAACUCCGUG